UGGAAACCCUGAUCUACAACCUUUGUUUUCCUAGCCUCCUGAAUCUGUCAAAACUCUGCACAGGAGGUUAUCGGACCAAACCCCUAACCACCAUUAUAAUAAGUGAAUCCUUAAGGAAAGUAUGGUUGAAUGAUAACUGAAUUAGAUGAA